UUGUAAUUCUUUAACCCCAGUUAGUAUGCUUUUAAAACUGAGGUUGCACCUUCAGCUUUCAUGCAUUCUGCAUCUAAUACAUAGUAUUUGCUUAAGUGUUGAUUUUUGUUUUUAGUGUAGAACAGCAACAACAAUCAUUAUGUUUAUUAAAAUGAGUGUCCUGACCACUUGAAAUACAAAAAUCUGAAAAGCUGACUACUGUAAAGGUGGUGAUACUCCAUGUGUAUAGCUCAAUAUCCUGGAUGACCACAGGACCUCUAGGGUGUUGGACUUUUCUUCUGAGGACAGUUGGAAGCUUCUGCAGGGCAGGAAGCAGAGGAGUAAGUUGGUGACUUGCAUACAUCUGCCCGGCCGCUCUGCAGAGGAUGGACUGAAAGCCAUGGUUCCCAACCAGGGCGAGUUUUCCGCCAGGACACAUUUGGAAAGUUUGGAAACUUUUCAUUGUCACAACAUGGGGAGUUGAAGGAGGUAUUACUGACAUCUAGUGGCUAGAGGCCAGCAAUGCUUCUAAACGUCCUGCAAUGCACAGGACAGCCCCUCCUUGAGACUGUUUUAGGUAGCCCAAAGUGUCAGCGCAGAGACAGAAGCCCUGAAAACAGUAGCAGGGUCUCCAUGAAGAAAUACACCAGGAAGUGCUUUUUAAUUCCUACUUAUUGGGACUAUGGGGGCAAUCCCCUUUCUUCCUCCCACUCCUAAUUUUUUCAUUCAAGUUCAGAUCCCAGGUUCUCCCUUGGUUCAUCUUUAAACCUGAACUUUAUCCCUUCCCUGGAGGCAUUCAUUUUCCCCAAGAUGUAUCCCAACUCACUGCGAGUAAUGUGCCUUAGGCUGAGAAAGCAAAGAACAGACUUUUCUGAAGAUUUGAUGGGUGACGUUGGGAGAAAUGGGAGGAUCUUCACAACAGGAGGCUCCACCACCUGUCAACUCUGUGACCAUAAGCAAAUCACUUCACUGCUCCAGGCCUCAGAUCUCCCAUCUCUCGAGUGAAGAUAGUGUGUCCUCUGCAUUAUAUCCCUGAGUAUCUGCGACUUUCCUAAUGUUGCGUAUAUGCAAUAGUUUGUAACUGUACAACGCUGUGCAUGUGGAAGGGAUCAUUGCUGGUGUUGUAAGCACCCCCUAAACAGCUAUCCUCUCCAUCCUCAGGUCCCCCAAAGGCACUUAAGCAAAUGCGAUGUCGGGAGGACACUCGGGCCCAGUGCAUAACCAAGUGUAGGUGGUGGCAGCAAUCUUGGGUUCCCUCUUAGAAUGAGUGAUCACAACUAAAGGAUUCCCAGAGCACUGCAAACAAAGACAACAGACAAUACUAACCUCAAUUGCUCUGAAGGUAUUUUCUGAAAACAGGAAAAUCCAGCUUAAUGCCACUGCGAGAACUGAGUGUCUGGUUACCCCUCUCGGGAAUUGCUGUUUGCUCUGUUUUAAGGGAAGGUGGUAAGUGGAUGGGAUUGAAGCCACUGUACUCAACAGGAAACUUCUGGAUGAGGGUAGGGGUGAGAGGUGGGGCGAAUUAAACAUCACUUGGUUUUCAA